UACAGAGGUCUCAAGCGUUGUUCGGAUUCAUUGGGCGUAAAGGGUGCGUAGGCGGCGCCGUUAGUCAGGUGUGAAAUUUCGGAGCUUAACUCCGAAACUGCAUUCGAUACUGCGGUGCUUGAGGACUGGAGAGGAGACUGGAAUUCAUGGUGUAGCAGUGAAAUGCGUAGAGAUCAUGAGGAAGACCAGUGGCGAAGGCGGGUCUCUGGACAGUUCCUGACACUGAGGCACGAAGGCCAGGGGAGCAAACGGG
rnacentral:rRNA from 1 species